AGCGAACGCUGGCGGCAGGCUUAACGCAUGCAAGUCGAGCGGGCAUCUUCGGAUGUCAGCGGCAGACGGGUGAGUAACACGUGGGAACGUACCCUUCGGUUCGGAACAACUCUGGGAAACUGGAGCUAAUACCGGAUACGCCCUUAUGGGGAAAGGUUUACUGCCGAAGGAUCGGCCCGCGUCUGAUUAGCUAGUUGGUGGGGUAACGGCCUACCAAGGCGACGAUCAGUAGCUGGUCUGAGAGGAUGAUCAGCCACACUGGGACUGAGACACGGCCCAGACUCCUACGGGAAGCAGCAGUGGGGAAUAUUGGACAAUGGGCGCAAGCCUGAUCCAGCCAUGCCGCGUGAGUGAUGAAGGCCUUAGGGUUGUAAAGCUCUUUUGUCCGGGACGAUAAUGACGGUACCGGAAGAAUAAGCCCCGGCUAACUUCGUG
rnacentral:rRNA from 1 species